GAUGAACGCUGGCGGCGUGCCUAAUACAUGCAAGUCGAGCGAACGGACGAGAAGCUUGCUUCGCUGAUGUUAGCGGCGGACGGGUGAGUAACACGUGAAUAACCUACCUAUAAGACUGGGAUAACUUCGGGAAACCGGAGCUAAUACCGGAUAAUAUUUUGAACCGCAUGGUUCAAAAGUUAAAGACGGUCUUGCUGUCACUUAUAGAUGGAUCCGCGCUGCAUUAGCUAGUUGGUAAGGUAACGGCUUACCAAGGCAACGAUGGAUAGCCGACCUGAGAGGGUGAGCGGCCACACUGGAACUGAGACACGGUCCAGACUCCUACGGGAGGCAGCAGUAGGGAAUCUUCCGCAAUGGGCGAAAGCCUGACGGAGCAACGCCGCGUGAGUGAUGAAGGUCUUCGGAUCGUAAAACUCUGUUAUUAGGGAAGACCAUAUGUGUAAGUAACUGUGCACAUCUUGACGGUACCUAAACAGAAAGCCACGGCUAACUACGUG
rnacentral:rRNA from 1 species